rnacentral:ribozyme from 14 species
GAGAAAAGAAAAGGAGGAGAAAAAGACUGGGAGGAUGAAGGAGAAUCGUUUUCCCUUUCCUUUUUCCUUUUCUUGUUUCUCCAUCCUCCAUCGAAUCGUUGUACAU